GCACCCGUAGCUCAGCUGGAUAGAGCGUGCCCUCCGAAGGCAAAGGUCACACGUUCGAAUCGUGUCGGGUGCGCCA
rnacentral:tRNA from 1 species